rnacentral:rRNA from 1 species
GGGUCAGUAGGUUGGUCGUGCCACCGGUACGUACUGGUCUCACUGACUCCUCCUUCCUGAGGAACCGUAAUGCCAUUAAUUUGGUGUUGCGGGGAAACAGGACUGUUACUUUGAAAAAAUUAGAGUGUUUAAAGCAAGCUAACGCUUGAAUACAUUAGCAUGGAAUAAUGAAAUAGGACGAUCGAUCCUAUUUUGUUGGUUUCUAGGAUUGACGUA